UACGUAGGGGGCUAGCGUUGUCCGGAAUGAUUGGGCGUAAAGGGUCCGCAGGUGGCAGUGUAAGUCUGCUGUCAAAGAAUGAGGCUUAACCUCAUCAAGGCAGUGGAAACUACACAGCUAGAGUACGGUCGGGGUAGAAGGAAUUCCUGGUGUAGCGGUGAAAUGCGUAGAGAUCAGGAAGAACACCGGUGGCGAAAGCGUUCUGCUAGACCUGUACUGACACUGAGGGACGAAAGCUAGGGGAGCGAAUGGG
rnacentral:rRNA from 1 species